AAUCCGUCGACUUUCAAAAUCGUGAGGGUUCAAGUCCCUCUAUCCCCAAAAAG
rnacentral:tRNA from 4 species